rnacentral:snRNA from 1 species
GGGCUCGCUUCCGCAGCACAUACACUAAAACUGGAACAUACAGAGAUUAGGAUGGCCCCUGUGUAAGGAUGACAUGCAAAUUCCUGAAGUGUUCCAUUUAAAA